GGAACAGUAGCUCAGUGGUUAGAGCACUAUAAUAAAGAUUUGUCAUUAUCUCAAAAGGUCAAAUAAAUCUUACUUCCUUGCGCAUAUAGCGGUCGCGGGUUCGAGUCCCGCCUGUUCCA
rnacentral:tRNA from 1 species